rnacentral:lncRNA from 1 species
GCCAGAGCUGACAUGUAAAGGCUUGCAAGAGCCAAUUGUGUACAUCUCUUCUCACAUUGGUAGCUUGAAAUCAACCAUGGUAGAACUAUUUACAUCAUGGAAUUCCUAAACACUACUAAUGAAAGCGUUUUUAUUUUAAAAGCCAGUUGUUUAACAUUUACUCUUGAACAUGCUUCUUUGUCCCUCAUGUGUUCCCAGUCCUCACUCCUCCAAAGGAAAGGGUUUGAGCAACCAACCACCACACAGUUGGAAGAACUAGCUUGCCUUGGUAACAUAAAGUCUUGGCUUACUUGCUUGCUGUCUUCCUCCUUCCUGGGUACUGAAGCUGUUUUAAAAUGUAGGUUUUAUUAUUAUUCAGGUACAGUGAGGCCAACAGAUCAGGAGAUGGACAAUUCCAUUGAAAAGACAGUUUGUUACUCACAGAUCCUCCCAAGAGGAGGGGCUAUACCACAUCAUGGGGGCCCACACGGGGAAGCACUAGGGUGGGUCAGGAGACAGGAGAGGGUACAACUGUGGACAAGAGUCUUACUUGUGGUUUUCAUGGGAAGGAACAGGCAAGGCAGGGUAAUCAGGCUUUGGAUUGGCUAGUUUCAGGAAUUUCAGUGGGCCCUGGGAUGAUUAGGGCAGGUGGAUGGUGACCUGGAGUGUGAGAGCUGCAUAAAGGAAGUGGUUGGGAUGUGGACUCUGGAUUGGUUGGUUCGCAUAUGAAAGGAGCUCUCCCAGGUGAGUUGUUUGCUAUCUCUAGGAAUUACCUAGCCCUGGGAGGUGCAGCUCCUCUAGGGUGAACAAGGCCCCAAGAUGUCAAAGCAUCAAAAAUACAGAAUUAAUGCAAAAGCCAACACUGUCCUCAGAGUGGAUGGCAGCAGCAUUAGAUUGGAGUGAUUUCCCAAUAAGUGGUGUGAGAGGCUCCCCUCUUCAUUUAGCUCCAAUGGCGAGAAUGUUUUACAUUGCACAUAUUGGCAGCUCCGUUGUCCUCAUAAAAAGAAGCAUGAUAGAAAGUAAAAGCUGAGACUUAAUGGCCAAUUUAAGCUUGAGAUAACUCUGCUAUGGUAGAUCUAAAGAGGCUCCCAGGUUACCUACGUAGCACCAGUCUCAACCUUAUGUGCACUAAUUCAAACUUCAGGGGACACACAUUUUGCAUUUCUACAAACUAAGCGAGUAUUAGGAAAAAUAAACACUCACCAGUUCUUUUUAUGCUAUCACAUUCUAUGUUGCACAUAAGAAAAAAAUAUGCUUUCUAGAGAGUUGUAAACAUUCUGCACACAACAUCCAUUAUGUUAUAGCUGGCAAUGGGGUCCAAAUGGAAUAAUCUGCAGACUAAACCCUUUCUUUAUCCCCAGAGCUGAGGCUGAGGUCAGUAGGACAGUGUGGGUGAAACAGCUUCUGAGGUGCCCUCCGACUCUGAAAUGUGCUGACCUGGAGUUUUGCCAGUUGGCCCAGGUUGGAUAAUAGACUGUUAGAUGGCCUACAUCUAAGGGAUGAUAAAAUAGCAGCCCAGACCUUGAUCCCUGCUCCU